CCUACGGGUGGCAGCAGUGGGGAAUAUUGCACAAUGGGCGCAAGCCUGAUGCAGCCAUGCCGCGUGUGUGAAGAAGGCCUUCGGGUUGUAAAGCACUUUCAGCGGGGAGGAAGGCGUUAAGGUUAAUAACCUUGGCGAUUGACGUUACCCGCAGAAGGAGCACCGGCUAACUCCGUGCCAGCAGCCGCGGUAAUACGGGGGGUGCAAGCGUUAAUCGGAAUUACUGGGCGUAAAGCGCACGCAGGCGGUCUGUCAAGUCGGAUGGUGAAAUCCCCGGGCUCAACCUGGGAACUGCAUUCGAAACUGGCAGGCUAGAGUCUUGUAGAGGGGGGUAGAAUUCCAGGUGUAGCGGUGAAAUGCGUAGAGAUCUGGAGGAAUACCGGUGGCGAAGGCGGCCCCCUGGACAAAGACUGACGCUCAGGUGCGAAAGCGUGGGGAGCAAACAGGAUUAGAUACCCGUGUAGUC
rnacentral:rRNA from 1 species